CCCUAGUAACUGCGAGUGAAGCGGGAAAAGCUCAAAUUUAAAAUCUGGCGGUCUUUGGCCGUCCGAGUUGUAGUCUGGAGAAGUGCUUUCCGCGCUGGACCGUGUAUAAGUCUCUUGGAACAGAGCGUCAUAGAGGGUGAGAAUCCCGUCUUUGACACGGACUACCAGUGCUUUGUGAUGCGCUCUCAAAGAGUCGAGUUGUUUGGGAAUGCAGCUCAAAAUGGGUGGUGAAUUCCAUCUAAAGCUAAAUAUUGGCGAGAGACCGAUAGCGAACAAGUACCGUGAGGGAAAGAUGAAAAGCACUUUGGAAAGAGAGUUAAACAGUACGUGAAAUUGCUGAAAGGGAAACGCUUGAAGUCAGUCGCGUUGUCUGGGACUCAGCCUUGCUUUUGCUUGGUGCACUUUCCGGAUGACGGGCCAGCAUCGAUUUUGACCGUCGGAAAAGGGCUAGGGUAAUGUGGCACCUCCGGGUGUGUUAUAGACUUUAGUCGCAUACGGCGGUCGAGAUCGAGGAACGCAGCGCGCCGUAAGGCAGGGGUUCGCCCACUUUCGCGCUUAGGAUGCUGGCGUAAUGGCUUUAAACGACCCGUCUUGAAACACGGACCAAGGAGUCUAACAUACCUGCGAGUGUUUGGGUGGAAAACCCGAGCGCGUAAUGAAAGUGAAAGUUGAGACCUCUGUCGUGGAGGGCAUCGACGCCCGGACCUGACGUUCUCUGACGGAUCCGCGGUAGAGCAUGUAUGUUGGGACCCGAAAGAUGGUGAACUAUGCCUGAAUAGGGUGAAGCCAGAGGAAACUCUGGUGGAGGCUCGUAGCGAUUCUGACGUGCAAAUCGAUCGUCAAAUUUGGGUAUAGGGGCGAAAGACUAAUCG
rnacentral:rRNA from 1 species